CCAGUACUGAGUAAUGAUAACUAGGUUAUAUACACAGGGUACCAGUACUGAGUAAUGAUAACUAGGUUAUAUACACAGGGUACCAGUAAUGAUAACUAGGUUAUAUACACAGGGUACCAGUACUGAGUAAUGAUAACUAGGUUAUAUACACAGGGUACCAGUACUGAGUAAUGAUAACUAGGUUAUAUACACAGGAUACCAGUAAUGAUAACUAGGUUAUAUACACAGGGUACCAGUAAUGAUAACUAGGUUAUAUACACAGGGUACCAGUACUGAGUAAUGAUAACUAGGUUAUAUACACAGGGUACCAGUACUGAGUAAUGAUAACUAGGUUAUAUACACAGGAUACCAGUAAUGAUAACUAGGUUAUAUACACAGGGUACCAGUACUGAGUAAUGAUAACUAGGUUAUAUACACAGGGUACCAGUACUGAGUCGAUGUGCAGGGGCUGAGGUGACUUGAGGUAGAUAUGUAUGUAUAGGUAGGGACAUCAUUGCGUCACGCAAGCUCCCCACUCGUAACGUUAGCUCCCCGCUCGUCACGUUAGCUCCCCGCUCGUCACGCUAGCUCCCCGCUCGUCACGCUAGCUCCCCGCUCGUCACGUUAGCUCCCCGCUCGUCACGUUAGCUCCCCGCUCGUCACGUUAGCUCCCCGCUCGUCACGUUAGCUCCCCGCUCGUCACGUUAGCUCCCCGCUCGUCACGUUAGCUCCCCGCUCGUCACGUUAGCUCCCCGCUCGUCACGCUAGCUCCCCGCUCGUCACGUUAGCUCCCCGCUCGUCACGCUAGCUCCCCGCUCGUCACGUUAGCUCCCCGCUCGUCACGCUAGCUCCCCGCUCGUCACGCUAGCUCCCCGCUCGUCACGCUAGCUCCCCGCUCGUCACGUUAGCUCCCCGCUCGUCACGCUAGCUCCCCGCUCGUCA